UACGUAGGGGGCGAGCGUGUCCGGAUUUAUUGGGCGUAAAGAGCUCGUAGGCGGUUUGGUAAGUCGGGUGUGAAAUCUCCACGCUCAACGUGGAGGGGCCACUCGAUACUGCCAUGACUCGAGUCCGGUAGAGGAGUGUGGAAUUCCCGGUGUAGCGGUGAAAUGCGUAGAUAUCGGAAGGAACACCAGUGGCGAAAGCGGCUUCCUGGUCCAGCACCGACGUCAGGCACGAAAGCGUGGGGAGCAAACAGG
rnacentral:rRNA from 1 species